rnacentral:rRNA from 1 species
GGCUCCUACGGGGCGCAGCAGUGGGGAAUAUUGCACAAUGGGGGAAACCCUGAUGCAGCGACGCCGCGUGAGCGAAGAAGUAUUUCGGUAUGUAAAGCUCUAUCAGCAGGGAAGAAAAAUGACGGUACCUGAGUAAGAAGCAUCGGCUAACUCCGUGCCAGCAGCCGCGGUAAUACGGAGGAUGCGAGCGUUAUCCGGAUUUAUUGGGUUUAAAGGGUGCGCAGGCGGUCUGUUAAGUCAGCGGUCAAAGCCCGGGGCUCAACCCCGGCCCGCCGUUGAAACCGGCA